rnacentral:rRNA from 1 species
GUUCGCGAGUCGCAGGGUAGUACGAAACCCGAAGGCACAAUGAAAGUGAACGAUCGACAACCUCGAUCGAGGUGAGAUCCCGAAGUUAGCAAUAACGACGGGCGCAUCACCGACCCGUCUCGGCCGCGUCGUCGGCGAGGCGGAGUAAGAGCGUACUUGUUGGGACCCGAAAGAUGGUGAACUAUGCCUGAGUAGGACGAAGUCAGAAGAAAUUCUGAUGGAGGUCCGCAGCGAUUCUGACGUGCAAAUCGAUCGUCAAACUUGGGUA